CCGGGGGCGCGGCUGCGGCGGCGGCGGCCGCCGUACAGUGACCUCGCUACCAGGCUUCGCCUCCGCCCCGGGCCAGCCGCCGGGCCCUUGCCUGCGCGGUGGCCGCCGGCCACCUGCGGGAGCGCUCCGGCCCGGAUGUCACCUGCUCACCCGGGGCGCCGCUCCGGGCUAAGCUGGGUCACCUGGCGGGCGGCUUCUCUGGGGGUAUCUGAUGCCCUCUGCCCUGUCCCCCGCUCAUUGUCCCAGGGGGCGGCACCAUCUCGUUUCCCUGGGGGCCAAGGGCCCCGGCUCCAAGUUUUCUAUUGUCUGUCGCUGGACGGAGUGUCUGCGACCCGCAGAGGCUAGAUGCCUGGGCGGACACCUGAUUCCCUGGGGUUCGGGGUGGAGGCGCCUGGCGUGGUAGUGGGGAGAGCGUGGGAGCUCUGCCCAGCGGUGGGAAGGAGCUCCCCGGCCCAUGAGACUGAGAGGGCUCCCACGUUGGCUUUCAGAUUCACCUGGAGGUGAUCGGAGCAAAUUAGGUAUUAAUUAGGCUCUUCCAAACCUGGUGAAGGUGUGCAUACCUCCCCUCAGCCCUCCCCGGGGCGCGGAGCAGAAGUUCCGAAGCAGUCUUGCGGUGGGGGAGCUGAAUGGGGGCUCUUCCUCUGGAUGAGGAUCCCAGCCUGAAGGCAAGACUAGGUCGCCUUAAACAACUGUAUCCCCCACCCACCAAGAGACAUAGACUCCAGGUUUUCGCUUGGAAGGAUUGUGAGCACUGUGUGUGUGUGUGUGUGUGUGUGUGCGCGCGUGUGUGUGCUUGCGCGCACGGGCGCGCGUGUGUGUUGGGGGCGGGGAACAACACCCUGGCUUUUUCCUGCAAAGGGUGGGACUGGGGAUGACCAGCUCCUUGGAGGUGGAUUUUUCUGUGCAUAGAGAUGGACCAGGGCCCUGUGUUACUAAUCCAAAGGAAAUAUAACCAGCCGUGAGAGCUGGCUGGAGGUGGGAAUUGGGGGCGGUGGGGAGAUUUUUUUUUUUUUUUUUAAUGUGUAUUUAGGGAGCUUCUCUGGCUCCAGCCCAGCCCCAGUUUGCCUCAACAGAUCCGGGGAGGUGGUGUUUAAUUAAAAGCUCGGCUUCCAAAACGAGUGGGUAGGUUUGGAAAGCUGUGCAGCGAGUGGGUGUGGACAGCCCCUCUCCAGCCGCUGCCUGGGCGCCUGGAGGAGCUUUUGUCUGUUGAAGUGUAAGGUUUGGAGAGGGUUGGGCCUCUGAGAUGGACUUCGGGAAGGAAUGCUCAGCUGUCAUGGCCUGCGUUGCCCUCUUAGAACCAACUGCCACCUCACACAGGGUGAACUUUUCCAAGGUGCCUGCAUCCUGUCUUGUCCAUUUUGAAAUCCUUCUGCAGAGCCUAUGCCUUUUGUCAGAAAUUGAUAUUCGUGUUGCGUUAUCUUCAGCGAGACCCUGCUUGCCCAGGAAUGCCUCUAAUCCAGCCCCUUGGAAUUAGAUGGAUUAUUCCCUGUUCAAAGACAGCCCCUUUCAUUCCUUUGCCCCUGAUCCCCAUGGAAUAAUUGGAGUGCUCUUUUGAGACAAAGCUUGGUGUUCCCUCUGUGGACUCUGGGAUAUUUCUUGUUAACUGAAAUUUGGCCGGCCUUAAUGAUCAAACGAGAUUUGGUUUGAGGCACACGUGUGUAUUCUCAUCACCAGGGGAAGAAUUUGAGAUGGAUUGAGGGGUGGGGAGAGCUGCUGGUGUGUUUUGGAGGAGAGAAAUGGAUGUUUCCAGUUUCUCUGUAAUAACAAGGACCCAGGGACCUAACCCAUCUGCCCACUGCAGUCCCAGGGUGUUCACCUCCGGAGUUUUUUCCUCGCUCUUUGUUCCUUAAUCUAGAAUCCAGGCUCAGUUCUUGCCAUUUAUGGGUUUGAACCCAAAGCCCUUCAGAAAGUAACCCAUCUUGGGGUAGGCCCUUCUGCUUUCCACCUGCCAUCCUGGGGCUGCUCUGCUUCUCCCUCUGCAAGAUUCCAGUUAAACAUAAAGACUUAUUUAAGGGCCUUUUAGGGCUGGAUCUAUAGUUUGUGGUUCCUGUGUUCCCCUCCCUUUGAACUGAGUCAGGUUUGUUCAACAUCCUGUGGGAAAGGCCUUUAUUUUAAAGUCCUUUUUGUUUGUUUGUUUGUUUUGGCAGUCAAAGAUUUUAAAAGUGAAUUGGGGGGGUGGGAGGGCAGGCGGGGGGAUGAAAACAUGCCUUGGAGUCUGCAGAAUUUCAGACUUUUGGGGAAUAGAGAGAUAAGGAGAAGGGGGGGGUGUCUGGUUUACAAGAUUGUUUAUGCCUAGGACAGUUGCUGAAGGUUUUCCUGGAGUUUUCAAAAGACUUCUUCAUAGAUCAGAUGGCCGUUGCACUUUCAAAGGGAUUUUUAAAAUUUGGACCUCGUUGCCAGCCACAACAUCACUUUUUUAAUACCCCAAAUCAGUGAUCUUGCUGCUGCUUCUCCUUUUCUUUUCUUUGAACUCUCAUGACAGGUUUAGGUCACCUUUGGUCCCCUUUCUGCUUGCUUUGAAGGACACAUGUAAAUAUUGGCACCCCAUCUGGAAUGCCGUCCUGAGAACAUUUUUAGGUUAUUUUCUCAGAAGUGAGGUUGAGGGGCGGGUGAGGAAUGGGUAAGGAAAAAAAUUUUUUUUUUUUUUAAGUGGCAUUUGAUUCUCCAAAAUGUACAGCCGUGCAGGAAGGGAGUCAGUUUCCUCUUUAAAGAAAAGAAAGAAAGAAAGAAAGAAAGAAAGAAACAACAAAAAAAAGGAGUAAUUGAGAGACCUUGCACCAUCCAUCUUUCCAAACCAAAGAACCUCCAGACGCAGAAAAGCUGCCGAGGAUUCUUUCUGCUUUUUUCUGAUGACCCUUCAUCUGGCUCGGUCCUGGGCUUUCGGGGUGUGUCUUUUAUCCUUUUCAGGGGGAAUGGGUGCAGUGAGGAAACCCUCACUUUUCUUCCACUGGGAUCCAGCAGCAGCUGUUAAAUAACUUAUUGAUUCCCUGACGAGAGGAAACGUUGUGUUUCUUUUUCCACCCUGCUGUGGUGGUCACUAAUGAACGGUGGUGUGCAAAAUCGCUUACUGGCUGCCUUUCCGCCGUCCACAUAAAUCAAGUUGUCUGGUGUGAGCUAGUCCCCAAAAAGAAGGGGAGACGAGAUUCAUGGGGCUACAGGCGAGGUUUGUCUAGGGGGACAGUAGCUUGGAAGUGACUGUGUGUGGAAGCCCAGAUCACUAACUGCUGAUGUUUAAACACUUGACGGCAUUAAGGAGAUCCUGGAAUCUUUCUGGAAUUUCUCUCCAAGCCCCCGGAAAGACAGCCUAAUGCUGCAAACAGCAGAUCUGUGCCAUUCCUUUUUUUUUUUUUUUUUUCUUUUUAAUUGAGCUGUAGGUGACAUAUAUUAGUUUCAGAUGUGCACCAUCCUGAUUCGAUACUCAUAUCUUUUGAUUUUUUUUAGUUAGGUCAUGGAACCAGCAUAUAGAAUUUGUGAUGUUUAUUGAGCUUUUAAGACAGGGACACCCUGGUCCAACCUGAGGGCAGCUUACCCUGUAGAGGUCUGCCGUCUUUUAAUAAUUAACUCAGUUUAAAAAAAGAAAAGAGAGUCGGAUGCAAAAAUCGAAUGUUUUCCUCUGCCUUGUUGCUCAAGAAUCAGCAUGUCAGGAGCUGUGCGGGGCCUGAUGGAGGGAGAACUUUGUACUAGGUUGGAGAGUGUGUGUUCGGGGUUAUUAUAUAGCACGACUGGGGGUGGAGAAAAAAAAAACCACCCAACCACGCCUCAAAUUCCCCACCCCACGUCUCACUUUAGACAGGGGUGUCCUGUUACCAGCACCUGUGCCCCGCAGAAUAGCGGCCUUGUUCGGUUUUCCUCCACUGCCCCCACUGCACUUUGCCACCGGUAUCCUCUCUCCUAAGUUCUGCCUAAAAUUAGACCGGCUAAAGGGACGUCUUGAAUUCCAUGGAAAUCUUUUGUGCAUCGGAGACACGUCAUGAUAUUUCCCCUGACUUAUCACAAGAUCAAGAGUGUGGGUGGUGGGUUCAGGGCUGGAUCAUGACCUCAGGGUUUUUUUGGUUGGUGGGUUGGUUGGUUGUCUUCCCCUUACUGUUUUGCUUUGCCUUUGGGGUUCCUGUUGGACAGAGUUCAGUUCCUCAGUGUUUCUUGAGGACCUGCUGUGUGGAAGGCCUUUUGCUGGGCCAUGAGGAGCCAGAGACAAAAAGGCUGCCCUUGGAGAGCUGCUUGAACAGCUGCAUUCAAUAUGGCGGCCCUGCAGGAAGGGCUGCUGUCCAGCCUGGGGAAGGGCCUUGGUCAGCCCCUGCAGGCCUUCGUUUUCCUCGAGGAAGAUACUGAAAACCCAGCCCAGGCCUUCACCCGUGGCCAGGUGCUCCGAGGGAGGCGGGCUGCUCUGUAAAUGGUGACACACAAAGGCAGACAAGCAAAGCCCUCGUAAAGCACAAAUGGGCCCCAUGUUGGCUUUUCUCUUGGCAAACGGCUGUGUUUGUCCAGGCUUUUACGGCUUCCUCAGUUCGGGCCUGUGGGAGAAGAAGGAGAAGUGAAGAUGCCAUAAAACCAGCAGCAGGGAACUGCCCGAAUGGGGCCUGUUCGGAGAUUGAGGGCCUCUUCUCUGUAGCUCAACAUCUGGGGGUUUUCAGGUGCAAAUCUGCUUUGUCCGGGUGUGGGAAGAAGUCAUUUUUUUGGGUCUUGGCUUGAGUGUUUCUGUGGGGAACAUCCCUUAUAUGUCCUAUUUAACCAAAUUGUUUAGAACUUGUUGUCGCUUGACACUGGGAACCUUUAUGCUCUGAGAUUCUAGUGGGUAAUGGGCCACAUGGAGAGAGAGGGUCAUUCCUCGUCCCGUUUUGUCUGGGAGGUAGACUGAGUUUGGAUUUUGCCCGGUUCAGCCAUCACUUCGUUGUUAGGAUAACGUGUGCUUCUUGUCCUACAGUAUUGACUGAACAUCCGUGAUGUUGCAAGCACAGAGCUUGAUGCUGUGAUUUCAGGAUGGGCGAGAGCGGGCCAAAUUCUUUGUGUAGCAAGACCUUCAAAUCGGGGAUGGAAAAAUGAGAUCAUUUUGGGUUUGCCAUUACUUCUCGGAACUGCCUUCAGGACACUUUCCCCUAAACCCCACACCUUUGCAAAAACAAAGAAAUACCUCUCCCUGAACCAGACAAAAGCCAAAGGACAGAUUCGGCUGCCUAUGACAGCAGACUGGACGCAUUCAGGACUCCUUAAAGGGAACUGACUGAUGCCCGAAGCAGUUUAACUCAGAUUCUCAGAUUGCACUGCCGAUAUGGCCUUAUUAAGUAGCAAACUGGAGAAACAAAUGCAAUAAAUUAAUUGGAUGAGCAC